rnacentral:rRNA from 1 species
UACGGAAGGCAGCAGUGGGGAAUAUUGGACAAUGGGCGAAAGCCUGAUCCAGCCAUGCCGCAUGAGUGAAGAAGGCCUUCGGGUUGUAAAGCUCUUUUAGUGAGAAAGAUAAUGACGGUACUCACAGAAGAAGUCCUGGCUAACUCCGUGCCAGCAGCCGCGGUAAUACGGAGAGGGCUAGCGUUAUUCGGAAUUAUUGGGCGUAAAGAGCGCGUAGGCUGAUUAGUAAGUUAAAAGUGAAAUCCCAAAGCUUAACUUUGGAAUUGCUUUUUAAAACUGCUAGUCUAGAGAUUUGAAAGAGGAUAGAGGAAUUCCUAGUGUAGAGGUGAAAUUCGUAAAUAUUAGGAGGAACACCAGUGGCGAAGGCGUCUAUCUGGUUCAAAUCUGACGCUGAGGCGCGAAGGACGUGGGGAGCAAACAGGGAUUAGAUACCCGU